GACGAACGCUGGCGGCGUGCCUAAUACAUGCAAGUAGAACGCUGAAGGAGGAGCUUGCUUCUCCGGAUGAGUUGCGAACGGGUGAGUAACGCGUAGGUAACCUGCCUGGUAGCGGGGGAUAACUAUUGGAAACGAUAGCUAAUACCGCAUAACAGUAGAUAUCGCAUGAUAUCUGCUUGAAAGGUGCAAUUGCAUCACUACCAGAUGGACCUGCGUUGUAUUAGCUAGUUGGUGAGGUAACGGCUCACCAAGGCGACGAUACAUAGCCGACCUGAGAGGGUGAUCGGCCACACUGGGACGGAGACACGGCCCAGACUCCUACGGGAGGCAGCAGUAGGGAAUCUUCGGCAAUGGACGGAAGUCUGACCGAGCAACGCCGCGUGAGUGAAGAAGGUUUUCGGAUCGUAAAGCUCUGUUGUAAGAGAAGAACGAGUGUGAGAGUGGAAAGUUCACACUGUGACGGUAUCUUACCAGAAAGGGACGGCUAACUACGUG
rnacentral:rRNA from 1 species